UACGGGGGGAGCAAGCGUUGUUCGGAUUUACUGGGCGUAAAGGGCGCGUAGGCGGUCAGCACAAGUCAGUUGUGAAAUCUCCGGGCUUAACUCGGAAAGGUCAACUGAUACUGUGCGACUAGAGUGCAGAAGGGGCAAUUGGAAUUCUCGGGUGUAGCGGUGAAAUGCGUAGAUAUCGAGAGGAACACCUGCGGCGAAGGCGGGUUGCUGGGCUGACACUGACGCUGAAGCGCGAAAGCUAGGGGAGCGAACGGG
rnacentral:rRNA from 1 species